rnacentral:rRNA from 1 species
AAUUACCCACUCCCGGCACGGGGAGGUAGUGACGAAAAAUAACGAUACGGGACUCAUCCGAGGCCCCGUAAUCGGAAUGAGUACACUCUAAAUCCUUUACCAAGGAUCAAUUGGAGGGCAAGUCUGGUGCCAGCAGCCGCGGUAAUUCCAGCUCCAAUAGCGUAUAUUAAAGUUGUUGCGGUUAAAAAGCUCGUAGUCGAAUGUGUGUCCCGCGCCGCUGGUUCAUCGCUCGCGGUGUUCAACUGGCGUGUCUCGCGGGACGUCCUGCCGGUGGGCUCUUCGAAUUGGUCGCUUGCGGUCGUUCGAGGCCCUACUCGUUUCCGACUUGUCGGUUGCGAAUCCUAUCGCGGUGCUCUUUAUUGAGUGUCGAGGUGGGCCGGCACGUUUACUUUGAACAAAUUAGAGUGCUUAAAGCAGGCCAAUUUUGCCUGAAUAUUGUGUGCAUGGAAUAAUGGAAUAGGACCUCGGUUCUAUUUUGUUGGUUUUCUGAACCCCGAGGUAAUGAUUAAUAGGAACGGAUGGGGGCAUUCGUAUUGCGACGUUAGAGGUGAAAUUCUUGGAUCGUCGCAAGACGGACAGAAGCGAAAGCAUUUGCCAAAAACGUUUUCAUUGAUCAAGAACGAAAGUUAGAGGUUCGAAGGCGAUCAGAUACCGCCCUAGUUCUAACCAUAAACGAUGCCAGCUAGCGAUCCGCCGACGUUCCUCCGAUGACUCGGCGGGCAGCUUCCGGGAAACCAAAGCUUUUGGGUUCCGGGGGAAGUAUGGUUGCAAAGCUGAAACUUAAAGGAAUUGACGGAAGGGCACCACCAGGAGUGGAGCCUGCGGCUUAAUUUGACUCAACACGGGAAACCUCACCAGGCCCAGACACCGGAAGGAUUGACAGAUUGAGAGCUCUUUCUUGAUUCGGUGGUUGGUGGUGCAUGGCCGUU